UGAGUCGGCCGGGCGGCCGCGUUGAAUUUAGGUUCACCGAGGAAAGUCCGGACUCCAUAGAGCAACGGUGGUGGCUAACAGCCACCCACGGUGACGUGCGGGACAGUGCCACAGAAAUUAGACCGCCAGCGGCCUUUGCCCGAUCGUGAGUGAGCACGCUCGCUCACGGAGACGGCGAAGGUGCGGGUAAGGGUGAAACGGUGAGGUAAGAGCUCACCAGCGCUCCGGGUGACCGGAGCGGCUAGGUAAACCCCACUGGGAGCAAGACCAAGUGGUGUUCCGUCCGCGGGACGCCGGCGCUGACGGACUGCUCGUCCAAUGUCAGCGGGUAGGUUGCCAGAGCGGCGCAGCAAUGUGUCGCCUAGAUAGAUGGCCGCCGGAGCCAAAGAUUAAGUUCAGCGGCCCCACAGGAUCCGGCUUACAGGCCGACUCAUUCG
rnacentral:RNase_P_RNA from 1 species